AGAGUUUGAUCCUGGCUCAGAUUGAACGCUGGCGGCAUGCCUUACACAUGCAAGUCGAACGGUAACAGGCCGCAAGGUGCUGACGAGUGGCGAACGGGUGAGUAAUGCAUCGGAACGUGCCCAGUAGUGGGGGAUAGCCCGGCGAAAGCCGGAUUAAUACCGCAUGAACUCGUGAGAGCAAAGUCGGGGACCUUCGGGCCUGGCGCUUUUGGAGAAGCCUAUGUCGGAUUAGCUAGUUGGUGAGGUAAUGGCUCACCAAGGCUGCGACCCGUAACUGGUCUGAGAGGAUGAUCAGUCACACCGGAACUGAGACACGGUCCGGACUCCUACGGGAGGCAGCAGUGGGGAAUAUUGGACAAUGGGCGAAAGCCUGAUCCAGCAAUGCCGCGUGUGUGAAGAAGGCCUUCGGGUUGUAAAGCACUUUAGGCUGGAAAGAAAAAGCUUUGGCUAAUAUCCAAAGCCUUGACGGUACCAGCAGAAUAAGCACCGGCUAACUCUGUGCCAGCAGCCGCGGUAAUACAGAGGGUGCAAGCGUUAAUCGGAUUUACUGGGCGUAAAGCGUGCGUAGGCGGCUAUUUAAGUCGGAUGUGAAAGCCCUGGGCUUAACCUGGGAACUGCAUUCGAUACUGGGUAGCUGGAGAUCGGUAGAGGGCGGCGGAAUUCCGGGUGUAGCGGUGAAAUGCGUAGAUAUCCGGAGGAACACCGAUGGCGUAGGCAACCGCCUGGGCCUGAUCUGACGCUGAGGCACGAAAGCGUGGGGAGCAAACAGGAUUAGAUACCCUGGUAGUCC
rnacentral:rRNA from 1 species